UACAGAGGUGGCAAGCGUUGUUCGGAAUUACUGGGCGUAAAGGGCGCGUAGGUGGCCAACUAAGUCAGACGUGAAAUCCCUCAGCUUAACUGGGGAACUGCGUCUGAUACUGGAUGGCUUGAGUUUGGGAGAGGGAUGCGGAAUUCCAGGUGUAGCGGUGAAAUGCGUAGAUAUCAGGAGGAACACCGAUGGCGAAGGCAGGUCUCUGGGCAGUUACUGACGCUGAGGCGCGAAAGCGUGGGGAGCAAACAGG
rnacentral:rRNA from 1 species